ensembl:lncRNA
GGCCUUUCUAGGGAGUUUUUCCUAGCCACCGUGCUUCUACACCUGCAUUGCUUGCUGUUUGGGGUUUUAGGCUGGGUUUCUGUACAGCACUUUGAGAUAUCAGCUGAUAAAUAAAUUUGAUUUGACCGCGCAGGGAUGCUGACCUGGAUCACCGAGCAACCUACCUUGGAAAAAAACACAGGAUUUAGUGAAAGGUUUUAGAGAGUUGAAAAAAAAAAGAAUGAAUGUUGUCACAGAAAGUGGAACAAGACAUGAGUGAAAGCAAUGGUGGGUCAGACAGAAAUAACACAGAUGUUGAGAGCAGGAGAAACAGUGUUGGAGUGGGCGGGUCAGCUGACCUCUUGGUCCACCACUGAAAAGACAUAACGGACACAAUGUAUUUCUAUCGGGAGGUAAGGGACUCUGGCACUCAAAUACAGUUGUAUUAUGUCAGUGAGGCAGAGGUGGAAAGUAAGGCACAGAGGAUUUCUGGGGUACCUCUGGUCACCAUAAAAGGAAAGUGUAUCGUGCCUGGCAUCCUCAAAUACAGAGACAGUUGUCUCUGCCAAGCAGCGCAUAGCAUGUGGGAUUGCCCAUGUUAUAGACUCCAAGAAAUCACAGCCCCGGCUAAUGGCCAUGGUCUCUCAGCUCCACUUUGUCCAGAUGUCGCCGACCCAGAUAUCUCAGCUCCGCUUUGUCCAGAUGUCGCCGACCCAGAUACCUCAGCUCCACUUUGUCCAGAUGUCAUCGACCCAGAUAACUCAGCUCCGCUUCGUCCAGAUGUCAUCGACCCAGAUACCUCAGCUCCGCUUCAUCCAGAUACCUCAGCUCCACUUUGUCCAGAUGUCAUCGACCCAGAUACCUCAGCUCCACUUCGUCCAGAUGUCGCCGACCCAGAUACCUCAGCUCCACUUCGUCCAGAUGUCAUCGACCCAGAUACCUCAGCUCCACUUCGUCCAGAUGUCGCCAACCCAGAUACCUCAGCUCCACUUCGUCCAGAUGUCAUCGAGGCUCACCACACUGGACAGUGGUGCAUUGUGAACUAGGAUGAACAACCAUACCCUGGCGUUAUACUGGAGGUCAAAGAACAAAAGGUCAAAGUGCAUGCACAGGAAUGGAGUCAACAAGCCCAAGAGAUGAUAAACUGGUAUGGGGAUGUUCAGAUUGUGUGUCUGAUGCAAUACCUGCUGCCAGUGAACAAAAGGUCAUCUCAGAUUUACCACAGUAUCUGGAAGUAAUUGGAGGACCACCUGAAUGUGUGAAAGUGGCAGAUGUGAACUGGCCAGCAGAGAAGAAGCCGUCAGUGGCUAGAAAGCAAUGGAGACUGUCCCGGAAAUGAUAAGAUGGACUUGACACGAUAAUAUGGGAAAGACAAACUUUUGUAAAGACAAACAUAAAGACAAACAUCAAGUAAAAGUGAAGUUAGUAUGGGAAAUAAUUAGUAGGGGAAAAGUUAGUACAGAAAAUAGGCCAAUUCCAUGAACAUGUUUUACUGCAUACAAUAUGUUAAUAUCAGUGCUUUUGGAAAAACUGUCUUAGUUUACAUUCAAUGUUGUUUCUAUUGUUCUUGUUUCUAGUUCUAAUAGAGAUAUUAUGUUUCUAGUUCUAAUAGAGAUAUUAUGUUUCUAUAGUUCUAAUAGAGAUAUUAUGUUUCUAUAGUUCUAAUAGAGAUGUUGUUUCUAUAGUUCUAAUAGAGAUAUUAUGUUUCUAUAGCUCUAGAGAUAUUGUUUCUAUAGUUCGAAUAGAGAUAUUAUGUUUAUAUAGUUCUAAUAGAGAUGUUAUGUUUCUAUAGUUCUAAUAGAGAUGUUAUGUUUCUAUAGUUCUAAUAGAGAUGUUAUGUUUCUAUAGCUCUAAUAGAGAUGUUUCUAUAGCUCUAAUAGAGAUGUUUCUAUAGUUCUAAUAGAGAUGUUAUGUUUCUAUAGUUCUAAUAGAGAUGUUAUGUUUCUAUAGUUCUAAUAGAGAUGUUAUGUUUCUAUAGUUCUAAUAGAGAUGUUAUGUUUCUAUAGUUCUAAUAGAGAUAUGUUUCUAUAGCUCUAAUAGAGAUGUUAUGUUUCUAUAGUUCUAAUAGAGAUGUUAUGUUUUUAUAGUUCUAAGAGAUAUUAUGUUUCUAUAGUUCUAAUAGAGAUGUUAUGUUUCUAUAGUUCUAAUAGAGAUGUUAUGUUUCUAUAGUUCUAAUAGAGAUAUAUUUCUAUAGCUCUAAUAGAGAUAUGUUUCUAUAGCUCUAAUAGAGAUGUUUCUAUAGUUCUAAUAGAGAAGUUAUGUUUCUAUAGUUCUAAUAGAGAUGUUUCUAUAGUUCUAAUAGAGAUAUGUUUCUAUAGUUCUAAUAGAGAUAUGUUUCUAUAGUUCUAAUAGAGAUAUGUUUCUAUAGUUCUAAUAGAGAUAUGUUUCCAUAGCUCUAAUAGAGAUGUUUCUAUAGCUCUAAUAGAGAUGUUUCUAUAGCUCUAAUAGAGAUGUUUCUAUAGUUCUAAUAGAGAUGUUAUGUUUCCAUAGUUCUAAGAGAUAUU